rnacentral:rRNA from 1 species
AUUGAACGCUGGCGGCAGGCCUAACACAUGCCAGUCGAGCGGAUGAAGGGAGCGUGCUCCUGGAUUCAGCGGCGGACGGGUGAGUAAUGCCUAGGAAUCUGCCUGGUAGUGGGGGAUAACGGCCGGAAACGGGCGCUAAUACCGCAUACGUCCUGAGGGAGAAAGUGGGGGAUCUUCGGACCUCACGCUAUCAGAUGAGCCGCGGUCGGAUGAGCUAGUUGGUGGGGUAAAGGCCUACCAAGGCGACGAUCCGUAACUGGUCUGAGAGGAUGAUCAGGCCCACUGGCCCUGCGCCACUGUCCGUCCUCCUACGGCUCGCCGCAGUCGCGCCUCUUGGACAAUGGGCGAAAGCCUGAUCCAGCCCUGCCGCGUGUGUGAAGAAGGUCUUCGGCUUGUAAAGCACUUUAAGUUGGGAGCAACUUCCCUAAGUUAAUACCUUGCUGUUUUGACGUUACCAACAGAAUAAGCACCGGCUAACUUCGUG